AGAGUUUGAUCAUGGCUCAGAUUGAACGCUGGCGGCGUGCUUAACACAUGCAAGUCGAACGCGAAAGGGACUUCGGUCCUGAGUAAAGUGGCGCACGGGUGAGUAACGCGUGGAUAAUCUGCCCUUAUGAUUGGAAUAACAGUUGGAAACGGCUGCUAAUACCGGAUACGCUCAAAAUGAACUUUUUGAGGAAAGAUGGCCUCUGCUUGCAUGCUAUCGCAUAAGGAUGAGUCCGCGUCCCAUUAGCUUGUUGGCGGGGUAACGGCCCACCAAGGCAACGAUGGGUAGCCGAUUUGAGAGGAUGAUCGGCCACACUGGAACUGAAACACGGUCCAGACUCCUACGGGAGGCAGCAGUGGGGAAUAUUGCGCAAUGGGCGAAAGCCUGACGCAGCGACGCCGCGUGAGGGAUGAAGGUUUUCGGAUCGUAAACCUCUGUCAGAAGGGAAGAAACUACGUUGUGCUAAUCAGCAGCGUACUGACGGUACCUUCAAAGGAAGCG
rnacentral:rRNA from 1 species